rnacentral:tRNA from 1 species
GGGCCUAUGGUUCAACGGUAGAAUACUGCUUUCGCAUUGCAGAGAUCCGAGUUCGAUUCUCGGUAGGUCCA